rnacentral:tRNA from 6 species
GGGUCUGUAGCUCAGCGGUUGGAGCGCACGCCUGAUAAGCGUGAGGACGGAAGUUCGAUUCUUCCCAGGCCCA